AAAACCGCUAGAAACCGCAACCACCCGCAUCCGCAAACGCCCGCAGCCGCAACCGCAACUGCUGCGUUUGAACCAGUCAGACCCUAAUACGUCGACGUUUUGCAUAGUGGGUUACAGAUGAGUUUAAUUAAGGCCUGGCCCCACCUUUUUGAAGUUUAGUUUCUUUAGGACUUUUUUAUAAAGCGAAAUUAUCGGCGCGUGCGCUAUGAUACGACUAACGAGCCUUGCAUUACAGCCCACGUGUCACAUCACAAAAAAACCAGAAAAUAAAAAAGGAAUUGUUUAAAAAAAAAAAGGAAAAUAAGUGAUUUCAAGUUACAAAAAGAGCCGUUGUAAAAAAGAGCCGUUGUAAAAAGAGCCGUUUCGAUAAUUUUAUUCGAUCUAUAAAUAUCUCAUCGGAUCAAUCUCUUCCAGCCACAAAAAAAAAGGUUCUCUCUCUCUCUCUCUCUCUCUCUCUCUCUCUCUCUCUCUCUCUCUCUCUCUCUCUCUCUCUCUCUCUCUCUCUCUCUCUCUCUCUCUCUCUCUCUCUCUCUCACUCACUCACUGAUCCAUCAUUGGCUUUGGGAGUUUCGAUCUCUUGGGUUUCUCCUUCUCCGAUGUCGUUCUUGACGACCACUCUCCCGCUGUAGGAAGUUCAGGUUUACUUGUUAUGUGCUUUGUCCUGCGAUAUGUCAAUAUCAUGCGGCACAAGAAAACUAGAUACACGCGCAUAUUAUUUCCAAAGGUAUUAUCUAGCCUUUUGAGCUUGUUUUAAAUCGUUUCUUUGCAAUGUGUUUAGCUAAACUUGUUUUAAAGUCUUCUUCUUCUUCUCUGGAUUUUUUUUUUUUAAAUGUUUUUGGGGGAAACUUCUAUAUUUUUUUGGUUGAUAAGAGAAUAUUAGGUGUAGAUUCAUAAUGUGGAAACAAAUAGGACAUCACCUCCAGUCAUUUGAUCGUUAGAGAUUGUGUGUUUCAUUUGCUUGAUACUUGUGGAUCACACUUGGUCAACUCCUAAUCUAUCUAGCAAAUAUAGAGGUUUUCCUCCUCUCGUAUUUUUCAAGUGUUUUUAAGGGAAGAUUCUUUUACUUGACAGAUGAUAGAAACUUUUUUUUUUUUGACAAAAACAGAUGAUAGAAACUUAUGUAUAAAUUUGAUGUAAAGACAAAUUUAGUAGAGCUGGUGAUCACUAUGAGUUCUCCCUAAUCAAUUUGGCAAAAUGAAUAUUAUUUUCCCUCCAUGUCAAAACAUCACAUAAAUUCGUUUGAUGUCAAUGUCCUGUCUGGAACCCUCAUCUAAAAUUUGUAUCAGUUUGAAGUUGCUUAUUUUCCAGAACUCUCGUUCCUUUAACCUUUCUCUUGGUGCUGGGUGGUUAGAAGUUGCGCGGAGGUGAUCCUCGUGUCUAUGGAACUGACAAAGAAUAUGCUUUAAGGGCAGCUGAAAGACACCUUUACUAUAUACACUCAAAUGGCUACCGAUUGUACCAAGUUCCAGAUAGGAAUUAAUGUUUAUGCAUUAAGUGAUAAGUACACUGAUAUUGCCUCCUUAGGACGUGAAUGUAUGGAUAUCACUUUUUCAUUUUAUUUCAAGGGUUUGGAGAAAAUGGGUAGUUUAGUGGUGGCUUCUUGUGUCCUUGUGUAAUGUGUGUGACCUUUAGCAGUAUUUUUCUAUUAUAUGCCUUUUGUCUUUCUGGGAGGUCAAAAUGAUGUGAUAGUUUCGUUUCAUCUUCCCUUUGACUAAAUAUGUUAAGAGUUUAUUUGUGCAACAUCAAAGAAAGCAAGCGUUGUGCUAGUUAUGCA